UUGAAAAGCUUUAUGCUGGUUUACUGUGUGUGUCAUUCUGUCAUAAAACAUAGUACAUUGAGUUCGAGAUAUCGUUUCAGUCGCCCCGAUACAGAUGGGCGAUUUGAUUCUUGCUCGAUAACAU
rfam:Picea glauca, whole genome shotgun sequence.